rnacentral:misc_RNA from 1 species
AACUUUAUGUUUAUUAUAAAAAAUUAAUUGGUUUAAGUAGCGAAAGUGAAAUUGUUUAUCAAUGGGUAACUUUAUGUUAACAUUAGAUAGCGAUAUAGGUUAUUAAUAAACACAGCCUAUUCAUAUAAAUAAGUGAAAGGUCCUAUUAGAAUCGAAAGAUACAAGGAAAAUAGAUGUUAAUUAAAGUGAAGAGAAAAAAGAAUUAUAGAUACAAAUUCAUCAUCAGACGAGAAUGACAUUUUAAGUGACACUAGCUUGUGGUUUUUAAUGCAAAAUAAUAAUGAGAAAAAUAUCUCAAAACGUAGAAGUGCAGACAUCAAAUAUUUUCCAUUAGCGAGUUAACAUGUCAUCCUCGGCCAACAAAUUAAUCAAUCACUCAUUGUGCUAAUAUUUAGUAUUAAAUUUAUAAUACUUAUACUGUUCUGUUAACAUACAUAUAGUUAUACAUUUUAUGAUAUUAUGGUUUUGUUUUAAGAUUAAUUUAAUAUUAAUUUAAGAAAUUUUCAGUUUUAAUGCUAAAAAUCAAUAAUUGUAAUAUUAUCC